UAAGAAGUCUUAAAAAUAUAUUAAAAUAAUCAUAAUAUAUCUUAAAUAAAUAUCAACAAAGUUCUAAUUUAACCCUAGUUGAAACCCUAAUGGACUUCAAUCAAAUCCUAGACAAAUCCUAAAUCCUAAACCAAACCUUAAUCAAAUCUUAAACUCUAAAGUAAAUCCUAAAUCCUAAAUCAAAUCCAAACUAUAUCCUAACUAAUCCUAAACUUUAAACCAAAUCCUAAUCAAAUAUUAAAUCUUAAUUAAAUCCUAUAUCUUAAAUCAAAUCGUAAAAAAAUCUUGAAUCCUAAACCAAAUCCUAAUCAAAUCCUAAAUCUUAAACCAAA
rnacentral:lncRNA from 1 species